UGUUAUCUCGCUCACGAAUGAUGAUGCCUUGAGCCACAGCAGACGCCGAUGCAGCUUCGAAUUGGCAACGGGCAACGUUAAAAAUAUGACGUUACAGUACGUCACAAUUGACGUCACAGUCUACUGACGUCACUCCGCUGCAGGUUCUAUGAGCAAAUAAUAAUUAAGAAUAUCACGUGAAACAAAAGAACUGCUGAAGGAAGAAAGGACGAAGAAAAGAGAGACAGAGAAGAAACGAAAAGCUCAAGAACGAAGAUGGAGCCAUUAAGCAUACCCAGACUAGGAUUUAUUCUUAGUCGAUGUAAAUACUAACUUAUGUGAGCUGUAGCAUAAAAGUCCCUUAUACUUA